rnacentral:rRNA from 1 species
CACGUAGGGGGCAAGCGUUGUCCGGAUUUAUUGGGCGUAAAGAGCUCGUAGGCGGUUCGGUAAGUCGGGUGUGAAACCUCCAGGCUCAACCUGGAGACGCCACCCGAUACUGCUGUGACUAGAGUCCGGUAGGGGAGCGUGGAAUUCCUGGUGUAGCGGUGAAAUGCGCAGAUAUCAAGAGGAACACCUGCGGCGAAGGCGGGUUGCUGGGCCGACACUGACGCUGAGGCGCGAAAGCCAGGGGAGCGAACGGG